rnacentral:lncRNA from 1 species
GGUAGGCAUUGAGGCAGCCAGCGCAGGGGCUUCUGCUGAGGGGGCAGGCGGAGCUUGAGGAAACCGCAGAUAAGUUUUUUUCUCUUUGAAAGAUAGAGAUUAAUACAACUACUUAAAAAAUAUAGUCAAUAGGUUACUAAGAUAUUGCUUAGCGUUAAGUUUUUAACGUAAUUUUAAUAGCUUAAGAUUUUAAGAGAAAAUAUGAAGACUUAGAAGAGUAGCAUGAGGAAGGAAAAGAUAAAAGGUUUCUAAAACAUGACGGAGGUUGAGAUGAAGCUUCUUCAUGGAGUAAAAAAUGUAUUUAAAAGAAAAUUGAGAGAAAGGACUACAGAGCCCCGAAUUAAUACCAAUAGAAGGGCAAUGCUUUUAGAUUAAAAUGAAGGUGACUUAAACAGCUUAAAGUUUAGUUUAAAAGUUGUAGGUGAUUAAAAUAAUUUGAAGGCGAUCUUUUAAAAAGAGAUUAAACCGAAGGUGAUUAAAAGACCUUGAAAUCCAUGACGCAGGGAGAAUUGCGUCAUUUAAAGCCUAGUUAACGCAUUUACUAAACGCAGACGAAAAUGGAAAGAUUAAUUGGGAGUGGUAGGAUGAAACAAUUUGGAGAAGAUAGAAGUUUGAAGUGGAAAACUGGAAGACAGAAGUACGGGAAGGCGAAGAAAAGAAUAGAGAAGAUAGGGAAAUUAGAAGAUAAAAACAUACUUUUAGAAGAAAAAAGAUAAAUUUAAACCUGAAAAGUAGGAAGCAGAAGAAAAAAGACAAGCUAGGAAACAAAAAGCUAAGGGCAAAAUGUACAAACUUAGAAGAAAAUUGGAAGAUAGAAACAAGAUAGAAAAUGAAAAUAUUGUCAAGAGUUUCAGAUAGAAAAUGAAAAACAAGCUAAGACAAGUAUUGGAGAAGUAUAGAAGAUAGAAAAAUAUAAAGCCAAAAAUUGGAUAAAAUAGCACUGAAAAAAUGAGGAAAUUAUUGGUAACCAAUUUAUUUUAAAAGCCCAUCAAUUUAAUUUCUGGUGGUGCAGAAGUUAGAAGGUAAAGCUUGAGAAGAUGAGGGUGUUUACGUAGACCAGAACCAAUUUAGAAGAAUACUUGAAGCUAGAAGGGGAAGUUGGUUAAAAAUCACAUCAAAAAGCUACUAAAAGGACUGGUGUAAUUUAAAAAAAACUAAGGCAGAAGGCUUUUGGAAGAGUUAGAAGAAUUUGGAAGGCCUUAAAUAUAGUAGCUUAGUUUGAAAAAUGUGAAGGACUUUCGUAACGGAAGUAAUUCAAGAUCAAGAGUAAUUACCAACUUAAUGUUUUUGCAUUGGACUUUGAGUUAAGAUUAUUUUUUAAAUCCUGAGGACUAGCAUUAAUUGACAGCUGACCCAGGUGCUACACAGAAGUGGAUUCAGUGAAUCUAGGAAGACAGCAGCAGACAGGAUUCCAGGAACCAGUGUUUGAUGAAGCUAGGACUGAGGAGCAAGCGAGCAAGCAGCAGUUCGUGGUGAAGAUAGGAAAAGAGUCCAGGAGCCAGUGCGAUUUGGUGAAGGAAGCUAGGAAGAAGGAAGGAGCGCUAACGAUUUGGUGGUGAAGCUAGGAAAAAGGAUUCCAGGAAGGAGCGAGUGCAAUUUGGUGAUGAAGGUAGCAGGCGGCUUGGCUUGGCAACCACACGGAGGAGGCGAGCAGGCGUUGUGCGUAGAGGAUCCUAGACCAGCAUGCCAGUGUGCCAAGGCCACAGGGAAAGCGAGUGGUUGGUAAAAAUCCGUGAGGUCGGCAAUAUGUUGUUUUUCUGGAACUUACUUAUGGUAACCUUUUAUUUAUUUUCUAAUAUAAUGGGGGAGUUUCGUACUGAGGUGUAAAGGGAUUUAUAUGGGGACGUAGGCCGAUUUCCGGGUGUUGUAGGUUUCUCUUUUUCAGGCUUAUACUCAUGAAUCUUGUCUGAAGCUUUUGAGGGCAGACUGCCAAGUCCUGGAGAAAUAGUAGAUGGCAAGUUUGUGGGUUUUUUUUUUUUACACGAAUUUGAGGAAAACCAAAUGAAUUUGAUAGCCAAAUUGAGACAAUUUCAGCAAAUCUGUAAGCAGUUUGUAUGUUUAGUUGGGGUAAUGAAGUAUUUCAGUUUUGUGAAUAGAUGACCUGUUUUUACUUCCUCACCCUGAAUUCGUUUUGUAAAUGUAGAGUUUGGAUGUGUAACUGAGGCGGGGGGGAGUUUUCAGUAUUUUUUUUUGUGGGGGUGGGGGCAAAAUAUGUUUUCAGUUCUUUUUCCCUUAGGUCUGUCUAGAAUCCUAAAGGCAAAUGACUCAAGGUGUAACAGAAAACAAGAAAAUCCAAUAUCAGGAUAAUCAGACCACCACAGGUUUACAGUUUAUAGAAACUAGAGCAGUUCUCACGUUGAGGUCUGUGGAAGAGAUGUCCAUUGGAGAAAUGGCUGGUAGUUACUCUUUUUUCCCCCCACCCCCUUAAUCAGACUUUAAAAGUGCUUAACCCCUUAAACUUGUUAUUUUUUACUUGAAGCAUUUUGGGAUGGUCUUAACAGGGAAGAGAGAGGGUGGGGGAGAAAAUGUUUUUUUCUAAGAUUUUCCACAGAUGCUAUAGUACUAUUGACAAACUGGGUUAGAGAAGGAGUGUACCGCUGUGCUGUUGGCACGAACACCUUCAGGGACUGGAGCUGCUUUUAUCCUUGGAAGAGUAUUCCCAGUUGAAGCUGAAAAGUACAGCACAGUGCAGCUUUGGUUCAUAUUCAGUCAUCUCAGGAGAACUUCAGAAGAGCUUGAGUAGGCCAAAUGUUGAAGUUAAGUUUUCCAAUAAUGUGACUUCUUAAAAGUUUUAUUAAAGGGGAGGGGCAAAUAUUGGCAAUUAGUUGGCAGUGGCCUGUUACGGUUGGGAUUGGUGGGGUGGGUUUAGGUAAUUGUUUAGUUUAUGAUUGCAGAUAAACUCAUGCCAGAGAACUUAAAGUCUUAGAAUGGAAAAAGUAAAGAAAUAUCAACUUCCAAGUUGGCAAGUAACUCCCAAUGAUUUAGUUUUUUUCCCCCCAGUUUGAAUUGGGAAGCUGGGGGAAGUUAAAUAUGAGCCACUGGGUGUACCAGUGCAUUAAUUUGGGCAAGGAAAGUGUCAUAAUUUGAUACUGUAUCUGUUUUCCUUCAAAGUAUAGAGCUUUUGGGGAAGGAAAGUAUUGAACUGGGGGUUGGUCUGGCCUACUGGGCUGACAUUAACUACAAUUAUGGGAAAUGCAAAAGUUGUUUGGAUAUGGUAGUGUGUGGUUCUCUUUUGGAAUUUUUUUCAGGUGAUUUAAUAAUAAUUUAAAACUACUAUAGAAACUGCAGAGCAAAGGAAGUGGCUUAAUGAUCCUGAAGGGAUUUCUUCUGAUGGUAGCUUUUGUAUUAUCAAACUUUUUUCAGAUAACAUCUUCUGAGUCAUAACCAGCCUGGCAGUAUGAUGGCCUAGAUGCAGAGAAAACAGCUCCUUGGUGAAUUGAUAAGUAAAGGCAGAAAAGAUUAUAUGUCAUACCUCCAUUGGGGAAUAAGCAUAACCCUGAGAUUCUUACUACUGAUGAGAACAUUAUCUGCAUAUGCCAAAAAAUUUUAAGCAAAUGAAAGCUACCAAUUUAAAGUUACGGAAUCUACCAUUUUAAAGUUAAUUGCUUGUCAAGCUAUAACCACAAAAAUAAUGAAUUGAUGAGAAAUACAAUGAAGAGGCAAUGUCCAUCUCAAAAUACUGCUUUUACAAAAGCAGAAUAAAAGCGAAAAGAAAUGAAAAUGUUACACUACAUUAAUCCUGGAAUAAAAGAAGCCGAAAUAAAUGAGAGAUGAGUUGGGAUCAAGUGGAUUGAGGAGGCUGUGCUGUGUGCCAAUGUUUCGUUUGCCUCAGACAGAAACUUUGUCUGCGAACACUCUUUAAUGGACCAGAUCAGGAUUUGAGCGGAAGAACGAAUGUAACUUUAAGGCAGGAAAGACAAAUUUUAUUCUUCAUAAAGUGAUGAGCAUAUAAUAAUUCCAGGCACAUGGCAAUAGAGGCCCUCUAAAUAAGGAAUAAAUAACCUCUUAGACAGGUGGGAGAUUAUGAUCAGAGUAAAAGGUAAUUACACAUUUUAUUUCCAGAAAGUCAGGGGUCUAUAAAUUGACAGUGAUUAGAGUAAUACUUUUUCACAUUUCCAAAGUUUGCAUGUUAACUUUAAAUGCUUACAAUCUUAGAGUGGUAGGCAAUGUUUUACACUAUUGACCUUAUAUAGGGAAGGGAGGGGGUGCCUGUGGGGUUUUAAAGAAUUUUCCUUUGCAGAGGCAUUUCAUCCUUCAUGAAGCCAUUCAGGAUUUUGAAUUGCAUAUGAGUGCUUGGCUCUUCCUUCUGUUCUAACUUCACAGAGAAUGCAGUUGUCUUGACUUCAGGUCUGUCUGUUCUGUUGGCAAGUAAAUGCAGUACUGUUCUGAUCCCGCUGCUAUUAGAAUGCAUUGUGAAACGACUGGAGUAUGAUUAAAAGUUGUGUUCCCCAA